ACUCAAAUGAAUAGACGGGGGCCCGCACAAGCGGCGGAGCAUGCGGAUUAAUUCGAUGCAACGCGAAGAACCUUACCUAGGUUUGACAUAUACCGGAAAGCUCUAGAGAUAGAGCCCCUUUUGUCGGUAUACAGGUGGUGCAUGGCUGUCGUCAGCUCGUGUCGUGAGAUGUUGGGUUAAGUCCCGCAACGAGCGCAACCCUCGUCUUAUGUUGCCAGCACGUAAUGGUGGGGACUCAUAAGAGACUGCCGGGGUCAACUCGGAGGAAGGUGGGGAUGACGUCAAGUCAUCAUGCCCCUUAUGCCUAGGGCUUCACGCAUGCUACAAUGGCCGGUACAAAGGGCUGCGAUAUCGCAAGAUGGAGCGAAUCCCAAAAAGCCGGUCUCAGUUCGGAUUGGGGUCUGCAACUCGACCCCAUGAAGUCGGAGUCGCUAGUAAUCGCAGAUCAGCAACGCUGCGGUGAAUACGUUCCCGGGCCUUGUACACACCGCCCGU
rnacentral:rRNA from 1 species